UCGAAUGGAAAGGACUGUAGCUGGCUCUCUGAGCAUUGUGCACGUCUACCUAUACUACACACCUGUGCACCUGUUGUAGGUUCUCGAAAGAGGAUCUAUGUUUUUUAUAACCCACAUGUACCGUAUGGAGUGAAUGAUAAAAUUAUA
rnacentral:misc_RNA from 1 species